AAAUUCAAUAGGAGAAUCAGUUCUAUAUUUGGAAAAACAACAACAACAACCAAAAAAAGCCUUUUCAAAGGAAAGACACAAUUUUUCCCCCUCGAUUGUAUCAGAGCUCAUCAUUCUCCAGAGCUAUUAAUCUGGCAUCUGUAUCGACAGCGUGGGAUUGUAAAAGAUGUUAUUUAUUUCCUCCUGCCUUCCAGCUCCAAUAGGGAAGAAAUACUGAGCUGCCCCCAGCCUCAGGAACCAGAUAUUCAGAUACAGAAGAUUAAAAUUUUAGCUGGAAUAUUAUACCAAGGAGAGAAAAAAAAGCGGGGGAAAGAGAAGAUGGCUUUUUGUUUCCCUGUCUCAAUGGACACCUUCACACUGUGAAAGGUGAGAUGUCCCCUGUUCACAGGGAGUGGAGGAACAAACUCUUUCCCUUUAUCUCUGUUUAUUAAGCACUGUCCUAUUUAUCUUGCCUGACUUGUACAGGGGGAAUCCUCAUCUGAGACACCAAUAUUAAUAACUUGCCAUAUUUGUUUUCAUUUUGCUUUGCAAUAGAGGACAGGAACAUUAUCUCAAU
rnacentral:lncRNA from 1 species